GAGGGCGCGACCAGAGCGCAAGGCACGCCUGAGGCGGGUGGGAGUCGGGAGGACGGGACGGGAAUCUUGGGACAAGCAAGAUUGCGACAUUCCCCUCUCCAUUAGGGGUGAGGCAGCUGUCGCAAUCCUCCCCCACAAACAAAUGCCUUCAAAACAACAUUAACUGCUAUUAUCUUCACUUUACGGAUGAGACAAGGGAGGCACUGAGAGGUUCCCAGACUUUUAACAGCUGGUACCAGAGAAUGUCAGUUACACUCCAGACCUGCUCAGCUCCCCCAGACUGCUGUAUGUGCCUGAGAGCUUCAUGUCCCCAAAUGGUAAAUUGAGGCCCACGGAGAAGUGAGGACUGAACUACCACUUGCGAGCUGGGAGCUUCUGGGAAAAAUCAUGGAACCGCCGUGUGCCUCAGUUCCCUCAUUUCCCACUAUCAAAUGGACAUGGUAAGAGUGUAUGCCCCUUAGGCUGUUAUGAGGAUUUAGAUGAGUCGAUAUUUACAAAGAGGGCAGAACAGUGUGGCAUACAUGUUCAGUGCUACAUAAACGUUGGAUAAAAAUAGAAUGUUGUGUGGGGAAAAAGCAAGACUCUGAAGAUGACUGACUUUUAAAAGUUCAAAAGCAAUGAAAACUAAACAAGAUGUUGACUAGGCAUUCAUAUAUGCUAUAAAGGGAUGAUAAGCAGAAAAUCAUUUGGGAACUGUGGGGAGGCAAGAGUAAGGGAUGGGGAAGUGAGCUGGGUGCAUACGCAUUGUUGGGGUCUCAGGAGAGGGGUGGGAUCCCAGGCACUCCCAGUGUCAUUAGAAGAAAGGUUUAAACACAGUAAUUCUUCAGCAUGAGGGGCCUUGGGCCUCAGGCCCAGACCAACUGGAUGCUUUGGGGAGGAAGGAGACUGCCCAGCUCCAUGACUGCUCCCUGCCAUAGUGUCCCCCGGCAGAAGUGCAGCAGCGGCCUAGCUCUUGCUGUCAUCCAAUCAGAGGGAAGAGGAUCUGAGCCAGUCA